rnacentral:rRNA from 1 species
UACGUAGGGAGCAAGCGUUGUCCGGAAUCAUUGGGCGUAAAGCGCGCGUAGGCGGCCUUGUAAGUCCGUUGUGAAAGUCAAAGGCUCAACCUUUGAAAGCCGAUGGAUACUGCAAGGCUGGAGUCCGGAAGAGGCGAGUGGAAUUCCUGGUGUAGCGGUGGAAUGCGCAGAUAUCAGGAGGAACACCAAUAGCGAAGGCAGCUCGCUGGGACGGUACUGACGCUGAGGCGCGAAAGCGUGGGGAGCGAACAGG